GGGCUUAUGAUGAUAUAAUACAAAAUAUAUCUUAGCGGAUUUCAGUGAGAUAAUUCAUCAAUGAUCUGAUUGUUACACACACUGAAGCUC
rnacentral:snoRNA from 1 species